AUUGAACGCUGGCGGCAGGCCUAACACAUGCAAGUCGAACGAGUGGCGGACGGGUGAGUAAUGUAUGGGAAACUGCCUGAUGGAGGGGGAUAACUACUGGAAACGGUGGCUAAUACCGCAUACCAUCGGAUGUGCCCAGAUGGGAUUAGCUAGUGGGUGGGGUAAAGGCUCACCAAGGCGACGAUCCCUACCUGGUCUGAGAGGAUGACCAGCAACACUGGAACUGAGACACGGUCCAGACUCCUACGGGAGGCAGCAGUAGGGAAUAUUGGGCAAUGGACGAAAGCCUGAUGCAGCCAUGCCGCGUGUAUGAAGAAGGCCUUCGGGUUGUAAAGUACUUUCAGCGGGGAAGCGUUACCCGCAGAGGAAGCACCGGCUAACUCCGUGCCAGCAGCCGCGGUAAUUC
rnacentral:rRNA from 1 species